GAAGAGGUAACUGGCGAGGGUUCUACUGGCGGCGGUGGCCUUGGUGGUGGUGGCGACGGCGGCGGCAGCGUUGGUGAGAGGGGAGGAAGAUGGGAAUACGAUACUGGUGGACCCUAUGAAGCUCGAGAUGUUCGUGGACGAGCUCCCCAGCAUGCCGAAGCUUGACGGCUUCCGUGUCGACGGGGCCAAGCUCCUUCCUGGCUCCCUCACCGUCGGCAUGUUUGAGAAAACUUGGAAGUUCCAUCGUGACCUCCCGCCAAC
rnacentral:misc_RNA from 1 species